UCACUGCGCAACACAACAUGUAGGAAGAGCAGGAUACGCAUUUUACGUGAUGGCUCAGUGGCAAAAGGUACCCGAUGUGGAUGACGGAGUCCUCGGGUUCGACUCCCAGAUUGACUGAAGACGUCUUGAACUGGACGAGGCAGAGGCAGGACUUUGAAGGACCAGUCAGGCGGGAAUGUUGGACAACUAUUUCCUGGGUUCAAGAAGGCAGAUGCAAGAAACUUACCCCGAGUAGAUGUUUUCAUUAUUGUGGAGUAUCUUCAUGCACUCCGCCAUCCAGAUAUGAAGCACAUUAAAUUACAAAGGUACUUACAAAAUUUCUCAUCUAAUUGAGUGCAGCUGUAUGUAUAUAAAGUGUUAAAUAAAGUUUAUAAGAGUGAGGGAUGGACUUGGUAUGUUG